rnacentral:lncRNA from 1 species
UAAAAUAAUAUUAUUUCAUUAAACAAUAAAAAAGGCAUAAAAAAAUCAGCCCACCCAUUCUUCUUCUUCAACAUUCGGCCAAGCAAGAAACAAGAGAGAGAAAGGAGAAAAUAAAACCCUAGCUAAGAAAUUUAAAGGGAAAAUAGGUGGAAAUUCAAAAAUCAAGUGAAAAAAGGUAACAUUUCUUAAAUUUGUCUUGUGCUUUACCUUUCCCAUGCAUUUUCCAUCAUUUUUCAUGGUUGAAUCAUGUGAUUUGAGGAUGAUUUCAAUUCUGGUCAUAUGGGUUUAGAGAGAGAAAGUUGUUAGAUAAAUUUGAUUUUGAGCUAUGUUAGUGUUUAGUGUUAGUUUAGCAUGUUUAUGAGUAAAACAACAAGAAAAAUAUUUAUCUUCUCCAUGAAUUUCUCUAGGCCGAAUCUAGCCAAUGGUAUGUGAGGAUGAGGUUGACUUUAUUUUAAGAGAAUUGGGUGGAAAAAUGAUGAAUUAUGAGGUUGGAAAUUAAAUGGGAAUUUUCGGUGCAAUAAAUUGAAAUUUUUACCCACUAGGGGUAAAAGCGUAAUUUAUAGUCCGGACUGAUAAAUUGGACCAAAUUCACAGUCAUUGAGGUAUUGUGGAUAUAAUUGGAUAAUUGAAAUUGAAAUGGAUGGAAUUGGAGUCGAAUUGGGGAUUUUAGGAAUUUACACCGUGUAUAGGCGAGUUAGGUCGGACACCGCAAUUAAGCGAUUGUCUAGACAUUUCAAAUCCUAUCUAGUGCAUACGCAUGGAUAAGAGCCUGAAAUAAUUUAUGAUAAAUUGACACAAUUUAUUGAAUUUUGUGUCAUGGAUUAUGGAUAGGUGGUGAGUCAAUUGUUUCGGGUAAGAGACUGCACCCGAGGGCGAAAGAUAGGAGUAUUUCUACUCCUAAAACUGUGAGUAAACUUAUUAUCGUCUUAAUUAUCUAGAGUAGUUUUAUACAAUUGUGUGAUUUUAUGGAAAAUGGGUUUAAAUGGUAAAUUGCUAUGUUUUAGGAGAAAUUGUGAUUUUAUAAAAUGAUUUUAUAAAUUUUCUGAAAAAUCGAAUACUGGUUUUGAAAAUAGAGUAAUUGGAGACUGCCUGCUUGUGUUGUAAAUUUAUGGUUUUAA